GGGUGAUUAGCUCAGUCGGUUAGAGCGCUUCUCUGAUAAGGAAGAGGUCCUAGGUUCGAUCCCUAGAUCACCCACCA
rnacentral:tRNA from 1 species